CCUACGGGUCGCACCAGUGGGGAAUAUUGGACAAUGGGCGCAAGCCUGAUCCAGCCAUGCCGCGUGAGUGAAGAAGGCCUUAGGGUUGUAAAGCUCUUUCACCGGUGAAGAUGAUGACGGUAACCGGAGAAGAAGCCCCGGCUAACUUCGUGCCAGCAGCCGCGGUAAUACGAAGGGGGCUAGCGUUGUUCGGAAUUACUGGGCGUAAAGCGCGCGUAGGCGGAUAGAUAAGUCAGAGGUGAAAUCCCGGGGCUCAACCCCGGAAUUGCCUUUGAUACUGUUUAUCUUGAGUGCAGAAGAGGUAAGUGGAAUUCCGAGUGUAGAGGUGAAAUUCGUAGAUAUUCGGAGGAACACCAGUGGCGAAGGCGGCUUACUGGUCUGCAACUGACGCUGAGGCGCGAAAGCGUGGGGAGCAAACAGGAUUAGAUACCCGUGUAGUC
rnacentral:rRNA from 1 species